rnacentral:rRNA from 1 species
CAGCCGUAAACUAUGCGCGUUAGGUGUACUGGUGACCACGAGUCACCGGGGUGCCGAGGGGAAACCGUGAAACGUGCCGCCUGGGAAGUACGGUCGCAAGGCUGAAACUUAAAGGAAUUGGCGGGGGGAGCACCACAACGGGUGGAGCCUGCGGUUUAAUUGGACUCAACGCCGGAAAUCUCACCGGAUAGGACAGACAUAUGAUAGUCGGGCUGAAGACUCUACUUGAUGAUCUGAGAGGAGGUGCAUGGCGUCAGUGACU